rnacentral:rRNA from 1 species
AUUGAACGCUAGCGGGAUGCUUUACACAUGCAAGUCGAACGAGUGGCGGACGGGUGAGUAAUAUAUCGGAACGUGCCCAGUAGCGGGGGAUAACUACUCGACAGAGUGGCUAAUACCGCCUACUAUUGGAGCGGCCGAUAUCGGAUUAGCUAGUUGGGUGGGUAAAGGCUCGCCAAGGCAACGCUCCGUAGCUGGUUUGAGAGGACGACCAGCCACACUGGGAGUGAGAACCGUCCCAGACUCGUACGGUAGGCAGCAGUGGGGAAGAUUGCACAAUGGGCGCAAGCCUGAUGCAGCCAUGCAGCGUGUAUGAGAAGGCCCUAGGGUUGUAAAGUACGUUCAGUAGGGAGGCGUUACCGACAGAAGAAGCACCGGCUAACUCCGUGCCAGCAGCCGCGGUAAUAC